rnacentral:sRNA from 1 species
AAAAAAUCUCAAAGAAAGAGAACCCAAACCUGAGAACGCGCUAAAAGGUCCCAACUGCACUAAAAACCAUAGUCUGCGUUUGUAUAAAUGGUUGGCUCUUCUGGUUGGCUAUGUAAACAAGUAGCACUCGGUUGUUCAAAUAUUUGUCGUUAUCUCUCCUGCCCCCGCUUAUGACAUAAGACAAAGAACCAUACCGCCCUAUGUCAGACUCCUAGAAGCAGUGACUAGAACGGUGGUUACUGGAGACUGGGGUAGAGUAGCUAGGAACAAAGAAAUGUCAGUCAAAGAGUACAGGGCGAAAUGAGAGGGACAAUCCUUCGUGGGGAAGUGCACAGAACCGUGGCUGUAAUUAGCAGCAUCGACUUUAAGUUUGCUUGAAGACUAGCUCUCGGAACUGGAGAGAUGGCUCAGCAGCUAAGGAGACCGGAGUUUGAGUCCCAGCACAAACAUGGUGGCUCGGAACCAUCUGUAAUUCCAGUUCCAGAGGGUCCGACACCCACUUCUUCAUGAGCAGCAAGCGUGUAGUCUGCACUGAGUUACAGGUAAGCAAAACACCCAUACGCAUACAUACAAUCUAAAGAGGGCUAGCCUUCAAAUAUUCUCCCACAAAAGGUAAGUAGGUGAGAUGGUGAUGGGCACAUUAAUUACCAUGAUCUAAUCAUUACGACAGGCCACCACACAGUUAAACAUCCUACCUCAUAUGAUGGUCCAGUGGUUACUCCCAGCUCUCCGUGAGCCUGUUACAGCAUCCACGGAAUCCUUUUCCUCCACACGACGUCUACAAAGCUGUUGGUAUACCAUUGUGCCCACCUAGGGUUCUUUUAAACGUGCGCAGCUGCUGCUGUUAGGGUUAGCUUUAUUAGUCUGCCAUCACUCACGGGUUUCAACAAAACCUGACAUCAAGCUGUCAGAGUUCUUAUUUUUACUUUUUUCCUGACACAGGGUCUUAUUCCAUAUCCCAGGAUAGCUUAGAACUCAUCACGUAGCUCAGGAGAACUAAGAGUAGUUCUCCUGCCUCUGCCUUAUGGGUCCUGGGAUCGUAAGCCAUGAGUACCACCCACUGACAUUUGUCUCAGUGAGGCACCUUUCUGAGACUCCUACAACAUCUGGAAACUCAUCCACAGGUUUCAUCCCAGUCCCUAUAGUAUUUUCCACUAUAGAUAACAUUCCGUUUGGCCUCCAACCAACAGAAGUGUUGUUCUCAGGUAAAUGCCAGUCAUCGGGCUGCCUCCCACUCCACCGCCCAACAUUGUUUCCAACGAAAUUGGAAAUAAGGGGUUUCAGGAGCCCGUGGUGGAAAUUCAGAUUCAGUAGGUGUUGCUGCUUCCCAACCAGGCUGACGUAAUGAGCGCUCUCCGAGAAUGCUGGCCGGCUCCUGCUCAUCAAUCCGUUCUUUCCUCAUUGCUGCAUGGAACUGAGAAUCCAUCACCAACUACAGAUGAAACGCCAAAGAGGAACCGUGGAAGAGGCGGACAGCGUUCCCGUUUGUUUCUAGCACGGUUUCUAUUCUCCCCAGCAUCUCCGAACUCCUAAUCGUUGCCGUCUGGGAUGUGAGUAGACUGAGUUUUCCCAGUGCCUUCCCAUCUACCUGUCCUUUUUGUUUGUUGUUGUUGUUGAAAAUUUUACUGAGACAAUUGCAGUUUUGCAAUGGCUUCUAAGAAGGGAUGUGGAAUGUU